rnacentral:rRNA from 1 species
UACAGAGGUCCCGAGCGUUGUUCGGAUUCACUGGGCGUAAAGGGUGCGUAGGUGGCUGGAAAAGUUUGAUGUGAAAGCUCAGGGCUUAACCCUGAAAUGGCAUUGAAUACUGUCGAGCUGGAGGUUUGGAGGGGGACUGGAAUUCUUGGUGUAGCAGUGAAAUGCGUAGAUAUCAAGAGGAACACCAGUGGCGAAGGCGAGUCCCUGGACAACACCUGACACUGAGGCACGAAAGCUAGGGGAGCAAACAGG